rnacentral:lncRNA from 1 species
GUGGCUUCUGCCGGUUAUAUAUUGCGUCGUGCUGAAGUCAGCACGCGGGUUCGACCUCGGGCUGAACUGGCCUUCGGGCCAGCCUGACUUCGUGGGACCCACUCCUAGCCCGGGCUUGGGCUCACCGCUGGAACGAGAUUUUUUUCCCCCCUAGCCUUGGGCUCAGCUCCUCGGUGAAGUUGCUUUAAGGAAUUAAAAAGUAAGUGGGGCUCACAGAAAAUUAGGAAUUGAAUUCCUGAUUUUGGAGGAAUUCAAUUCUUGGGUGGGAUGUGGUAUUCUAAUUCCUGAAGAACUAACUCAUUAAGAAUUCACCUUUUUUACCCAUUAUAUCCUCAUACAAUUUUAAAAAUUCCAAAUUUGCCAUCUAUUUUAACCCAACAACGAGGACAUUUUAGUAAUUAGCACCACUCCUACUCCAAUUCAAUAUAGUUUAGUAUACAACUUCAAUAGGAAUCCAGAAUCUAACUCUCCUCAAUCCAUAUAAUUUAGUAAACAACUUCAACAGGAAUCCAGAAUCUAAUUCUCCUCAAUCCAAC